GGGUAUAGUUCAACAGUAGAAUAGAGGUCUCCAAAACCUUUGGUGUGGGUUCGAUUCCUACUACCC
rnacentral:tRNA from 1 species